AGGAACAAUAAUCUGCAUAGAGGGCUCUGUAAAAAAAAUAGUAACGAAGGGCAUGAGAACUAGUGUAAAAGUAGUCCCCAAUGGAUACUGUUACCGACAAUUGUAAAAGUAGAUCUACUAGAGGCAUGAAGUAAGGAACUACUGUAUACUGGAUGGAAGUAAAAGCUGGAAUAAAACUCUACAACUACUAAGCUUUUAUACUACAUAUCAUCAAAAAAGAACUGCAAUGUAUGUAUGCUCACAAUCAUAACUCAAUUUCAUUGGCCCACUCGAGGGUUCGAUCAAGCCAGCGCCUACCCACUACCUUGACACCACUUUUGCAGGUGGCCCGUUAAUAUGUAGGUCGACUACUAGAGUUGCUACAACAUCAAUGUAUGAAAGCCAAAUUCUGGAUCGGCAUUCAAUAGGCACGACCCCACCAAGUAUGUGGCAUAUCUCUAUCGAGUUAAAAUACGGCUUAUGCAAGCUGUAGUCAAUGUAAAUGAUCAACCAGAUCAUGAAUAAUGCUAUCCACAUGCCCUAGACACAAUCCAGAGUGUAACUCAAUGAUCUGAAACCACCAUAACACUAUAUUGUAAAAUCAGUACUAGCUAGUCUACCAGCUGCUAUUCUAACUAUCUUAUCCCCUCAGUACGGGCGGAAAAUUAUCCUACACUAUUCUAAAUUAUCUCUACCCACCAACCUGGGUGAAAAGCAGUUAAAAACAGGUGCUGACUAUGAACAUUAACAACAGGGAUAUCAAGGUUGCAUAGUGUAUGUUUUGCAGGAAGCUAGUCUAGUUUUUCAAUCCGGAGUGUAACUCAAUGAUUCGAAACCACCAAAGCACUAUAUUGCAAAAUCAGUACUAGCUGGUCUACCAACUGCUAUUCUAACUGUCUCAGUCUCUCAGCACGGACGAAAAAUUAUCCUACACUAUUCUAAGUUAUCCCUACCCACUAAUUUGGGUGAAAAGUAGUUAAAAACAGGUGCUGAUUAUAAACAAUAACGACAUGGAUAUCAGGGUUGCAAAGUGUAUGUUUUAUAGGAAGCUAGUCUAGUUUUUCACCGUAGCAAAUCUACUACAUGGAUGUUUAGCAAGAUCUAUACUAGGAAUUCAGCAUAUCACAUGAAUUUCCGAUGAUUCCAUAAUACAAUAUUCAAAUUUAACAUGUAUAUAAAGCAUGUAGGAGCUAAACUAGAUGUAAUAGGUAAUUCGUCGUUUUCGGUAGAUUAAACCCACCUUGACUAGCAAUCUAACUAUGGAAAAGCAUGAUCUACUCAAGAUCACUCCUUAUUGUCCAAGAAUCAGCAAGAACUAAGCAAAAUUAAGAGAAUUUAGUAGAGAUUCUGCUAGAACAACCGAAGUCUAAAAAUUCAAUAAAACUCCACUUCGGUUCAAAAAUCUGGAUUUACAUUAACAAUUAAAGCAACCUACUACUCAACCCUGCUAGGAGUAGCUCCAAAGCAAUAAGAAGUGAAAGAAAAUCCAUCAAAUAUCCACCAAAAGCUCAACUAGAAGAAUUGGAUGAAAAAAAAUUAAUGAAACUCCAACAAUCAUCCAAAUUCAGCUCAUUAUACUAAAAAGUACUACAAUUUCACCCAACUAGCCUUAAUUCCAGUCGACAGAAAAGAUCCCCAAGCUCUCCUCCAUCAUCAAAGCCACGAACAAGAUGCAAUCCAGCAACAAGAAGUUCCAAUUCAACCCAAAUUGGAGAACUUCACUGUUGUUGCUGCUGCUGUUGCUGGUUCUCCUAAUGCUCCCAGCUUGUAAGAAGAGAAAAAUAUGGAGAAGAAGGAAAAGGAAGGAAAGGAGAGGAGAAGUAAGGUCUCUGGGAUGUAGGAGAGUGAAAUGAGUGAGUAGGCUUGGAUAUACUCAAGCUUUUCACCAACUCACUUUCGGACUGUUACAGUAACUUUCUGGGUAUUCGAAAAGAGGGCCCAAAACCUUGUCCAAGGCAGCACUGCAUAUCUUGGCACUCAAAACAUGAUUUGGGCGCCCAGAACCUGUGGAAACUCCAGUUUCAAUAGAUUUCGUGAUAUCAAGUCCGUUUUUGCGUCCAUCUCGCUCUAGAAUGACUCUCGCUCAGUUCGACACUUUACAGAUGUGUUGAUCGGUUACCUCCACUGUACUCGAAUCCAGCUACGAAGCAUCAGAACACUAAAUAUAAUAGUCUAGAGAUGUAAUGUGGGCCCUACUGGGCCGGGUCAGGUUGAAUUUUUCGGACCCUUGGCCCAGCACGGCCCUAGGGCCCGGAUACGUACUGGCCUAGUAUUUUUUUUUUUUUUUAGAUUUUAAAAUUUUUUUAUCUUAAAAAAUUUACAAAAAUAAAAUAUUUUAAUUUUUUUCAACUAUUAGAAGGCUAUAAGGGUUAAAAAAAUGAUUUUUUUUAAAAUUUUUUCUAAAAAGUUCAAAACUUAAAAAUUAUUUAUAAAAAAAUUAAAUAAAAAAUAAUUAUUUUGAUAAAAGUUUUAAAAAAUUUAUAAAUCUGUAAAAAAUUAUUUGGACAGAAAUUUAAAAAAUUAAAUUUAAAAAUUAUUUGAAUAAAAAAUUAAAAAUUUUAAAAAUAUUUGGACAAUUUUAAAAUUAAAACUAUAUGUUUUGUAAAAAAAAUUUAAAAAAGGGACUCAGUUCGCAAGAUAGCCCGGAGGCCCAGCCUGGGCUACCUUGGGAGCUGGGCAUAGGCCGAGCUCUCUUAGGCUCCCUCGGGAGUUGGGAGAAGAGACCCCAACCUGCGCUGCACACCCUUCUCCCAAGUUCUUCCCCCGCCGCCCCAGGCAACAGAUCGUGUCGUACCCAUAGUUAGUUAAUUCGCGAAUUAUUCCCGAAUUUUUGAAAACUCGAAUUAAACGGUGAUUUUCGAAUUUUUGGAAAAAAUUCGGAAAAAAACGGGAUUUUUUGACUAAAAAUACGUGUUCGCGUAUUAUACGGCGAGCCGAAUUAUUCGGUCCAAAAAAACGGAUCAAGCCCGCAGGCUCGGCACCGGCCCGCGCUGCCCGAGCGCUCUGCCGCUGGCCGGCCGCGCCGACCGACGCGCUGCCCGCGCGCACUGCCCGUGACGCCCGCGCCUGCCUGCGCAUGAGGCUCUUGGGCCGGCUGGCCCAAAACAGUAAAAUACACAAAGAAAAAAGGAAAAAUCUUUCCAAACACCUCGCCUAAGACAAAAAAAAAAAAAAAAAAAUUUCUUUUCGAAUUUUACUUAAUUAGCUUUAAUUUUGUAGCUAUUUAUUCUAUAUUUUUAAAAGAUAUGAAUAUUAUGCUAAUAGCAUAAUCUUGAGAGAAAAAAAUUUAAUUUAAUAGCCGAAUUUUUAAUCCCGAAUUUUUUAAUUAGUAAACGUAUAAUAUCCGUAUAAAUCACGUAUCCGAAUAAUUGAUGAAUCCGUUUUUUAGCCGUAUUUUUCAACGAAUUUAAAAAUUAGAAGACGAAUUUUAUCCGAAUUAUAUUCGUACCAAAUUUUUACCGAAUCCGAAUUAACUAACUAUGGCCUUACCAUACCGUGCCGUUCAGAGCCACGGCCGAAGCUAUCAGUCCGACACGACCUAGCCUGUUCUGGGCCGACAUGUCUAAAACUUUAGGCGCAGCAGGUUCCGUAAAUGCAGGCCAGGCCGAGCCGGGCCGAUUCGAACUCUACAAUACUUCCCCCCGGCCCCUAUCUGUGCCUGGCCAGGAGGCCCACGGCCGCAGGCCCGUUUUACAUUCCUGGCUUUAUCUCAUAAACAAUUCGAUGGAUAAUAUAGCAAUUUAAAUUAUUUCGUGGGGAGCCAUUCUUACCCUAUUCAAAGCGCCCGGACUCCUCUUCUUCCCUCCACCUCCUUCUAGGGUUUCUCUCUCUCUCUCUCUCUCGCCCUCUCUCUCUCUCUUCCCACCUUCCUAGGGUUUCAUGAGGAGAUACAGAAGCCGAAGCAGGGGCCGGGGCCCGAGCCCGAGCUACAGCCCUCGGCGGGUUAGCCGGAGCCCGCCUCGCCGGAAGCGCUACGACGACCCCCGCGACCGCCGCGGUUUCCGCCGCUCCCCGGCCCCGUCCGGCCUUCUUGUGCGAAACGUCGCCCUUGAUGCGAGGUCGCAAUCAUUUGACCCUCGUUUUUCCUUUUUUCAGUAAACCCUAAGGCCCUGUUUGGAUGCAUGAACAUCUUAUACGGUAUAUUCUUUCGAUUUAUUCACAGAAGUAUGUAAUAUUUGAUAGACAGGAGUGUGAUCGAAUGCCUAGAAUGGAUGCCAUAUUCCGUCCGAGUCAAAUCUUUUCGGGAUAUGAUAAAGCACCUUGUAGGUAAAAUAUGCUAUACUACCAAAUCAUGGAUGCUAAGACUUUUAAGAGCAAAAUUCAGACUCCUAGUUUUCAAUCAGACAAGAAAAUCUGUAAACCGAAUGAGUUAUCACUAGAUAUCUUAAGGCCUAAGUUUUCUAUUUGCACAACUAUCCAAGUCCUGUCACUGAAAUUGUUGUAUUAUUGUCUUUGUGGUUGUUCUUGAGAUUGAUCUUGGUGUACUGUAGGAGAUAUGCGUGAACGAAAGAAUUGAAUUGAAAAUAAGAGGAAAGUUUUGUUUGGUCACUCUUGUUCCGCGAAUAGUACGCUCUUAUUAUCUUUUAGUGAUUAUGUUCAUGGGAUUGGUCUUGGUAUACUGUAGGAGGUAUGUUGGAAGAUGGUUUACUCACCUGGAUGCACCUAAUGAUUAGGUACCUAAAUGACUUACAUUUUGGAGGAAAAUAGAGAACUGGCUAUGCAUGGGCUUCUGACUGUUCACCCAAAGUGUAUGUUGGUGAUCUUCCUAGAGUUCACUUGCUGCCUCACACUUCAUUGAUUUCGUUGUAUUCUUAAUAGUCUUUCUAAGAGAUACCAAAGCAGCAUUGUAAUUUGUAAAGUCUAAGAAUAAGUCUGUAUGCUUUUGGGAUCCCCUAAGUUUAGUAGACUUAGAUUGGUGAAAUCUUGAGUAACAAAGAAUUUUGCGUUUAUACUAGGAGCUGGUGCUCUAAGAUGAUUUUUCAUUAUUUUUGCUGAUAUUUCUAUUCAUACAAGCAAUAAUUUAUUGCUGCCUUGUUAUCAUUAUUGUGCUGUUUUUAUGAUCUGAUAACGAUCAGUUAAUAACAUAGGAAAAUGAUGUCCUACUUUGCAGUUAUUUUUAUGUGUAUUACAUUUCUUUUUCUUCUUCACUUCCUAUCAACAACCUAGCCUAAUAGUGUUAGCACCCUAUCCUACUAGUGUAAGCAAAAUGAUAAUUGAAAGUUUAAUCUUUUCCUUCGAAACAUUUAUUCUUAUCUAUGUUUAGAGAAUUGAAUUGGAUCGGCUGGUUUGACUUGGUUAACUAGAAACCACUUAUAGAGCCGGUUCAAUCAGGCUAUAGCAACAGCUUCAUAAGGAAAAAAAGGUUAAAACUAUCAAAACUGGUACAAAACUGCCCAACUGUAUGAAUUUGUUCCAAACUGCCCAACUGGACAAAUUUAAGUGGACAUUAGAGCUGGAAGAAAAAUAAGUAAGCCUCUUCUGCUAAUUCUAAAAUUCACGCCUCUGAAUUGUUCGAUGGAAAAAACGUAGCUAAUCACCUAUGCUAAGCAGUGUUUGAAAAGGCGUGCCUCAGGCGCGCGCCUCAGCGCCUAGGCGCAAGGCGUGAGUCUCAAUGCCUCAGGGAGUGAGGCACGCGCCUCAGACGCACCUCGUGAUAUUUACGUUUAAUGUGUCUAUGGUGUGGGUUUUUGGGUUUUGAGUUUCUUCAAUAUAUUCUAAAAUGUUAAGAAACUUUUUUAAAAAAAUUUCUAAUUGAACGCUUACUUUUCCUUUUCUCUUGGUCGUUCUCUCUUUCACCCCCCAAUGGCAAUAAGUAGUAGCGGCAAGAAGAAAGAAGCAGCAGCAAACACUUUAAAGCUGAAAGUUGAAACAUAAUUUUUUUUAUUUUUAAGUUGAGAACAUUUAUGCAUGCGAUUUCUUUACAUUUUUAUGGUUAUUUUGUUUUUGUAUAGCUAUUUUAGAAUUUUUUAAUAUAAAACAUUCAUUUAAAAUAGGCUUGUUAAGAGUGUUUUAUUUUUAUUAGAUAUGCGCCUCACCUUCUCGCGGUGCGCCUCGCGCCUAGGCUCCAUAAAGCAUUUGCGCCUUUUUGCGUCUUGCGCCUUUUCAAACACUGAUGCUAAGUUAGCUACUAGUUCAAGAGAAGACUGUUUGUUUAUUUGGGAUAUUACAUGGAGAUCACAUAGUGUAUGUACAUAUAUGCAUAUACAUUUGAUAGUUUGACCAUUGGUUCGAUUGUGGUUGAACCUCUAACCAGUGUUUGAAAAGGCUCACCUGAGGCGCGCGCCUCAGCGCCUAGGCGUGAGGCGCGGGCCUCCACGCCUCAGCAAUAGAGAGGCGAGGCGCUAUUGCUGAGGCGCACGCCUAGGCCCUGGCGCACAUAAGGCUCGCGCCUCGGCAUAUUUAAUAUUUUUUGGAUUUUGGAUUAAAGUUUUUGGGUUAUUGGGUUUCGGAUAUAAAUUUUAUGUUUUAGCCCGAUAAGAUUAGUAAAAGAAUCUAAAAGAAACCUAAAAAAAUCCUAAUGAAAUCAAUCUAUCGCCCUUUCCUCCUACUACUCUCUCCUUUUACCGGCCCUCUUCUCCUUCUUGAGGCCAAAUGAAAACAUUGGCACCACAAUCACUUUUAAGUUGAAAGUCGAAAUAUAUUUUUUUUAACUUGAGAACAUAUAUGCAUGUGUUUUCUUUACUUUUUUAUAGUUAUUUUAGUUUUGUAUAGUUAUUUUGGAGUUUUUUUAAUGUAGAAUAUCAAAUUAAAUUACUGUGCGCCUCGCCUUCUUGAGGCGCGCGCCUCGCAGUGCGCCUCGCGCCUAGGCUCCAGGAGAGUCUUGCGCCUUUUUGUGCCUCGCUCCUUUUCAAACACUGCCUCUAACCCACCAUGAUCCUCUCCCUUCUCUGGUUUGCUGACCCAGCUUCUUGAACAUUGGUUGAACCUCUAACCUAGUUUGCUGACCUGGCCUACUUCUUGAACACUGGUUGAACAUCUAACCUGCUUUGCUGAUCUGGUCGAUUUCUUUAACACUGAUUCCUAGUUCUGUUGGAUAAUUGGCAUCUUUGACCAUUUGAGGUGAAGUCCUCUUUGAGUUAUGAUCUCUCUAUUUCUUUCUUUCUUUUUUGUGUUUUUUCUCCAUGAGCUCUCUCAUAUAUUGUGCUCAUUGCUUGAUGAAUUGCUUUUCUCUUCUGCUAUGUUUUAGGAGUUUGAAUGAAAAAGGUUUUUUUUUUUUAAUUAUUUUGUAUAGUGAUUAGUUUCUCUCUUAUUUGUUUUGUGACUGCGUAUGCACACAGGCCGGAGGAUCUUCGUAUUCCAUUUGAACGCUUUGGCCCUUUGAAGGAUGUUUACCUUCCGAAGAAUUACUACACAGGGUAUGGUGUGAUAUUUGUUUUUUGGUUUGCAAUGCAGUCUACAGCCUUGAUUUGCGCAAUUAUUCAUUAUUUUUCAUUUCUUGAGUUCUUCAUCUACGAUAAGCGGUUCCUUCCAUGCCAUUAUAAUAUAUCUUAUGAAUGAAUGUAUGUGAUGUAUAUUUGAUCUUACGUAUUCCAUAAAUUAUCUGUAGGUCUUACAUCAAUAUAUUGUCAGAUUUGCAUAUAAUGCUUGUUCCUGUUUAUUUUGCUAUUAACUUGUCAAGAAAUUCCAAGCAAUUGUUAUAUAUUCGACUCCAUAACCUUGGGAAUUUAUUGGAUUGAAUGCUAAUAUGUUGGAGAUGAAGGGAUCAAGACGUUAAGAAAUCCUAUAUUUGAACAAUAGAAGAUAUUUUGUUCUAUAUAAGUUGACAUGUGGAGUUUUUAAAUUUUACUCUAGCUGGUUUUGUGCUCAUUUAUGUGUUUUAAUAGAAAUAUGUAUGCUGCAUUUAGGGACCAUGCUAGGGUAACCUACACAUGUUGGACCUUUAUAUUGUCUUGACAAAGACAGCAAUAGUCUUCUAAGAAAUUGCAACUAACAAUAAUGGUUCCUUGGCAUAUUUCCACCUCUUGUUUGAGAAAUUACAAAUAACAAUAAUGGUUCCUUGCUGUUUUACCACCUCUUGUUUCUUGUUGUUCUGUUUUUUAUUCUCUCUGUGUUUGGGAUGCGUAAUUUAUUCAUAUCACUCAAAUGACACUUCUUCAUUAUUAUAGCGGGAAAUAACUCGAAAUUAAAACACAUAAGAGUUUGAACCACUUUCAAAACAUAUUGAGAGCAGGACUUCGUCAUUAUCAUUUCAACUGAGAGGAAUUUUCACUGCAAAAAUCAAAUGUAUAGAUUGAUGACAGUGGCUGUCUAACGGGCUUAUAUUUUGUGGCAAAUGAAGAAAAUGACAAAUUAGAGGGAUGAUAAAAGUACAGAACUGUUUUGAUGGAUUAAGAAUUGAGUGGGAGGAAAGGGAAUUUGAGGACUUUGUGAACUAAUAGAUAUCAAAGCCAAAGGAAUCAAACAGUAUUAUAGUGUUUGCUUAAACAUAUGAACUCCUACAUGUUGUCAUCUGUCAAUACUGUUUUAUAAGACUGGCUAUACUUAGUGGAGAUUUUUCAGGCUCUAGUCUCUAGUAGCUUGCUUUAGGCUUGGCUUUUUUUAACUACUAAAAGAAGUAAGGUUUGGCUUAUUGUAAGCACUUAAUCAGCUAGGCUUGUAGUUUUAUUAGUCUGGCUCAAGUUCAACUCAAUGUGUGAGUAGCCUAUUUUAAUAGCAACUUAAAUGUUGCACUGGCAUGAGCAACACCUUUUGGUACAUUGCAUAAACAUGGCAUAGUUAUUGAUAGUAUUUACUAAGUUCAUUAGGAUGGAAUAACCAUCAAAUGCUAUGUAGAAACUUAGGCAGUUUGGUCGAAAAUUUAGGAUUUUAUAUUUUUACGAGGCCUAGUUGCCUGUAUAUCAAAAUUCAGUAGUUUUGUGCUAAGUUCCAUAUGGUACAAAGAUUAUCAAAUCUAUGCAUAUUAACAUUCUUAGUUUCAUACAGAGCAUAUACUUGAGAUGCUUAGCGCGCAGAUGAUUAAAUCUGUAAACUCUAGUACUUUGAUAAUUUAGAUUUUCAUUUGUCACGGCCCGCGACCAUCAAUUUGGCCGGUUCGGGCACGUCCACAGAUGCCGAACGGAUAGGACCUUCCCUAUCCGCCCAAGGCUCAACAACAAUCACGUGUAUAGCCAUUUCAUACAUAGAAAAUUUUGGUAUACAUGGCUUGCUCGAGGGCAAGCAACAACAACUAAAGUGAAAGUAAGUUAACUACUAUUACAACAUCCAUUGUACUUUGCAAGAUUGAAACAAAAUACAAAGUUUCAAAUUUCAUUACAUCCAUGAUCCAAAUUUACAUCAUAUGUUCUUCAAAUACAUACAUCAUUCAUAUAUUUAUAUAUUGUCCAUUCAUCAACCUACAAAAGAUGAAUCUCAAAAGGGCAUAAUACUAAACUCGAAGGAAGCCACUAUCUAGGGCUCGAUGCCCUUGCCGCAAUCCUCGACCGCCCUGCUCGCGUUAGGAUUUGCAAGGUUAGUGGUGUGAGAACUAAUGAAAGUUCCCAGUGGGUUCGGCUGCCGAUCUUGCCGACUUACCCACUAGGUCUACACAGGCAUAUGUAGGAAAGAAAAGGGAUAUAGAAACCAAAACUAAUGCCACUACAAUGCCUGUACAAAACUGAAUAGAGAUAGUAUACUCAUAAUGUAUGCAUGCUCUUUUACCUUUAUCCAAUUCGCUUGUUUAACCCUUUGGUUAAAUCUCAACUCACCAAACCAAAUCCCUUUUGUCGGGGAGAAUACCGCUACAACCCGAUGGGACUGUCUGCUGGGGAGAAUUCCACUACCAACCCAGUUGAUGACACUCCGGAGCUCACCGCCCAAGGUGGAGCGACCUACCUCGAGCAUUCAGACUACCUGUGAGUACGAUCCAAUCCUCACUUGGAGGAUACCAUGCCACAACCUUGACAUACUCUUUAUUCUAUGUUUAACAUUUCCAAUUCUAGAUGCUAAUCAAUUCAUCUCAUUAUAAUGCCACAAGUUCAUUUUCCUUGUCUAGCAUUCUCUAUACUAGGUGCUACUCAUGCCGUCUAGUUACAAUGUCACUUGUUCCCUAGUGUCAUAGUUCGAUGCUUCAUACACCUAUAGGGUUUCUGUGUUCAUCAUCUAUAGUUCACAUGUUCUUUGCUUCCAAAGCAUACAAGAAUGCACAAUUACCAUAUAUGUCACAUUUACCCUAUAAUGCAUGAAUCCACUAUACACAUACAAUAUGCUCAAGAAGUAACUAGACAUAAUGGGUCAUUCGAAGACUUCGGAUAGCACCACCUACCUUUUGGUAAUGCCGAAGUGCGAGAAAACCACUUCCUGCGAUUUAUGGACGACCGCUCCUCUCGCCCCACGACAAACGAAGCUGAAAUGAGGCUUUUCCCUAAUAACUUGACGUAGACUCGUCGGAACUUCGAUCCAAGUCACUCAACGCGCUGAUUUAUACUCCAAUUAGGGCUACAAGAGAUCAAACCUAAGUUAGAUCUCAUAUUUAGCAAAACCCCAUUUUUACUCUAGGGUUCAUACAAGACACCCAAUAUAGUCUAAGUUUCUAGAAUUUCAUAGCAUAAUCAAGCUCUAGAAAUCCUAGAGACUAUAAAACCUAACCAUUUAGGGUAUAAAACCAAACCCUAACCAAGAAAUUGCAAGAAACCUACCUCAGGUUCUUGCUCCAAGAAGCCCCCCUUGUCUAAGAGCCUCUACUUCACCAAAAUCCCCAAACUCUAACUUCAAUUCUCCUUCAAUUCCACCAUUGAGUAGAGUUCUCUAGAGAGAGAAGGAGAAGGAGAUGAGGUUUGGAGAAGAAAAUGAAGUACUUUUUGCAUGAGAAGUACAGGUGUAUAGGUAGGGUAUUUAUAUAGGCUUGCACAAUUGCAAAUAAGCCCCCCCAAGAACUCACUCUCAGCCUUCACAAUUUAGUUCCUUAUAGACUGGGUACCGGUACUCGGGUUAUAAUACCGGUACCCGAGAGUUCUAGUACCGGUACCCAGCAACGAUACCGGUAUAGGCCAUCCAACCCGAGGCUACGCAAAAUCCUGUCUGCCUCGUAGUACUGGUACACAAGACCAGUACCGGUACACAGCCUCGUACGGUCCGGAUCCCGAGAGUUGUAUUAACACACAAUGGUUAGUUACCGGUACUGCAUUGCUCUGGUGUCGGUAUCAAGUGCCAAUUUUGCACUUUAACAGCAGAAUUGCUCCGGGAGUUCGUUUUCGCGCUUGGUUUGCGUCGAAAACACCUAAACAUCUUCGGAACUCAUUUCCAACCAUCCGCACGCCUCCAGAAUAGGUCGGGGACGCUGCAAUUCGUACUCUUGCUUCACUUUGAUCAAUUCGAUCAAAGUUAGCAUCGUAACUCGGAGAUUCGGUAUGUUACAUACAUAAUACGUCCAAUGGUUGUGCACCUCUUGUGCCCUGAUCGAGGAAUUUAAGUUUGGUCUAAACUCCCUAUUUCUGUGAAAUGUAUUUUAUCUCUACACCGUAACAAUACGACGUAAAAUAUAGCAGAACCAUAUGUCCUAGUUACUUAUAUAGGCGGUCACAUGAAUCCUUCUCCAACAAACGUUAUUUUGCACAAAGAACCUCCUAGAAGCAGUUUAACUAUCCGUUGUUUUUCUAACUGAUCUAACUAAGUCUAAUUGAUGGAUAAUGCGGUUGGUCUCUUGGAAUCAUCUGGAUCUUAUAAAUGUUUCUUCUAAAUUUUAGGUGGUGGUUCUUUUAACUUUGCUGCUGAUACACUAUAUAUUUUUUUGAAGGACAGUUUUCAUCCAUCUUAGCAACGACCCUUGAAACAUCUGGCCUCCUAACUGAUUUAGUCUCAGCAUACAGUACGAACCGAGCCUUACAGCCAUCUAGCAAUUUAUAUUUUCAUUAAGAUAAUUAAAUAAUCCUUUAGACACAAUUUUGUACUCUGACAUUUCGUUUGGUUCGGUUAUAAGUAAGAACUGCCUAGUCCAUGGAUAGGUACAAGUUCAGGUAUAAAUAAGAAUUAGACCAAUUUUGCGUUUGGAUGAAAAUUGAGUUAUUCCCGGGAAUAAGAAAAAUACUGUUUGGAUAGAUAAGAUGGAAUAAGAAGAAUAGUAGGUAAUUAUAAAUAGAAAAUAAUGAUAUUGCACCUUAUAUUAUAUUUGAAUUUAAAAUUUAAAAUUUAAAUAUAUAACUUUUAAAUUUCAAAAAAUUAAAUUAAAAUUAAAAUUUUUAAUUUUUAAAUCUCAAAUUCACAAAUUUAAAGUUCUAAAUUUGAAAUUAAGAUUAAAUCUAAAUUUAUAUAUAUAAAAUAUUAAAAUUUAAAUUUUAAAAAUUUAAAAUAUAACUAUAAAUUUAAAAUUUAAAAUUUAGAAUUUAAAAUUAUAAAAUUUUAAUUUUAAGAUUAUAAAUUAUAAAUUUUUAAAAUUUAAAAUUUAAAGUUAAAUUUUUAAAAAAAUUAAACAGGGGUGGGGGUAGGAACAACUGUUCCCAUCCCUAUUCCCACAAAGGGGUGGGACAAUUAUCCCACCCUAACGGGUUAUCCCAGUCCUGGGUCAUAUAUUACAUGUUGACAUGCGUUGUGUCAUUUGUCGAGCUUCCCUGUAAAACCAUGAGGGUAUUUUUGAAGGAGCUAAGAAUACUUUUUAAAACGGUUCUACAUGAAUGAAAUCUUUAAGAAGGUUUCUACUGUUCUCUUGGAACUCUCUUAUGAGGCAUAUUACGAACUGAUAAAAUUACAUCAAUGUAAAUUUGCAAAACCUCCAUUUCUCAUAAAUUUUUUUCUAUUGCCAUCUAGUUGCAUGAAAAUGAUGGGAUACCCUUGAUAUAUGCAUGUAAAUGUAUCUUAUAUUCGAGUCAUAGUAGAAUGAAUAUAUGAGUAAAACCAAAGAAGUAAAUAAUGAAGUGCAGCCUCUCAUGAAAGUGGUUGGUGUGGGGAAGGAAAAAUAUGAAAAGUUGAACGCACUUGAGUUUGAUGGAUUGCCAAUAAUGUAAUCUUUAUUUACCAAUAUAAUGGUCGUCAAGUUUCACAUCAUAACCCAUGAGGGUCCUUGGACCUUGGUACAUCUAAUUAUCAAAAUCCAAAAAUUGCUAUAUGGUAUCAUAAUGAGGCUAGUUUUUUUUUUAAUACAUGAACCCUUGUGUAAGAAAUCAAUAUAUUUGAAUUGUUACAUUGUCUUAGUGUCGCUAUUGAUUGCAUUAUAUAGUGGUGGAGGGAUAUAUCACUAUUUUGCUAGGAUCGGCCUAUAUUACCAUGUGUUGUCGUGAUACAUUAACGUAGGUUGAUUUGUAUUAGUUAGGGAUCGGUGUCAGUUUCUUAUGUUGUUCUGAUUAUUCAGAAUACAACAUUUUCUGUGAUUUUCUGCUACUGGCUUCUUUAUACAUUGCAGGAAUUUGAGUUUUUGGGGUUUCAUGGUUUCUUAUUUACCAUGUUCACUGCUAUAAAUACUUCCCUUUAAAUUGGUUUUUUAUCCUGGUGAUGUUUUUAGCACAUAGAGCUGUCAGAAUCAUAAACAAAUUUUGUACUUGGGUGCUACUUUUGCAGGGAACCACGGGGCUUUGGCUUUGUCAAAUUCCGUUAUGCUGAUGAUGCAGCAGUGGCCAAGCAGCAAAUGAAUCAUCAGCUUAUUUGUGGACGUGAGAUUUCGAUUGUAUAUGCUGAAGAAAACAGAAAAACUCCGCAAGAAAUGCGCACGAACAGUAGAAUAAGGUAUUUUAUCAUUUUAUUUUUCUCCUCUUUUAAAUUACCACUUCAUUCGUGAUAUAUUGAAUGUAGUUUACAAUUUACAUUAUCCAAGUACUUAUAUGCUUUUGCUCGUGCAGUGAUAGAUACAAGGGCGAUGGUUAUAGAAGACGAUCCUCACCAAGAUCCCCUAGGCAUCAACACCAUUGUAAGUAAAUAGAGCUCUUACAAUCUAUACUUUUUUUUUUUUUUUUUUUAAUCUUUUUUGCUAUAAAUCAUAUUUAUGUACAAAAUUCCUGAAGUAGUAUUGCUGGUUUCUUGAACUUGAUUCACGUUAUUAUUUUUCUCAUCUUGGCAGCAUAUUCACGUUCACCUUCACCGCCCAGGCGUGACUCAAGGUGUGAUUUUUUCUUUAAUUUUUUAAUUUUUAGUUUGGUUAACCCGUAUUAGAUUUUUAUAGCAUUUUUAUUAAAAAGACCACAUCUUGUUUAAAUCAUAUUCAGAUAUAACUAAAUUAGUGGAGAUGUUUGAACUUUAUGGUUAAUUGCAUUUUUAUUUGCAUUUUCAAAAAUAAUAGUUAUUAGGAAAUUUCUCAUAUUGCUAUGCAAGCUUUAAAAUAUCGGAUUUCACCAUGGAUAUGAGUUCUUUUAAUGAUGUUUUUUGUUAUUUGCAAACUUAAUCAUGCUGCGCUGUGUUCUGUGCUUCAGGACGUUUGAACGACUUGUUAGUAUGUUGCUUAUGCAGAUCAUUAAAGUCAAAGAGUUCGUAAAGUUCAAAGGCUUAUACUAAUGACUAAAGAGAAAGUGAACCAAAAGAAUUUGGCUAUUUCCUUGAUCUUAUUUCAAAGCUAUUCAAGAAGUUUCGGUUAAUCCAGCUUCGCCAACAUAACUCACUACUGAUCAUAUGGUUUGUUAGAUAAAUUCACUAUCCAUAGUAACUUUAUGCUUUUGUUAUCCAAAUGAGAUAUUUCAUUCUAGUGUUCUCUGAAUCUUACUAGUUUCGCUUUGCAAUUAUCCAGUCAAGAGAGAAUCUAGAGGUAAAAAAGCAAUAAAGAAACUUGAUUACCAGAACCAAAACUAGAAAGUAUCAUGAUCUCCAGAGAGUUGGAGCCCUUCAAAAGUCUCGCAGCUAAAGAUUGAGGAUACAAUCACAAGUGACAAAUGUGUUGGCUAAGAAAGUAGAGGCAAAGAUUUGUUGGGAGAGAACUGAUGCUGUUGAACAACCAACUGCAUUUUAAAGCCGUAUUCAUACAUGUUUGGAUCGAGUUCAUAAAAUUUGUGGGAAUUUGAGAUGUUACAGGUAAAAGUAGUAUUAUUCGCUAUUUAAAUUUGAUUUGGGGGAGGCCCAAGUCAGGGAGAAUCUACAGUCUGAGUUUACUUCUUUUCUACAUCAUUUUCUGACUGUAGUGCUAAUUUGAGUAGCACUACAUGUUUUUAUUAUUUUCCGUGCACUGGAACCCCUGUAAUGGGAUUCUUUAAUUUUUUUCGAUUGCUUGUUGUUCUCCUUUUAUUUUUUAUUUUGUUAUGCAGGGACAGGAAAAGGAGCUCACGUGAUGAUUAUUACUCUCCUGCAAAGUCCAUCUCCCCUCCUCGAGAGGAGAGGGAGUAUCGAUCAAAUCGGCGAUCUCCAACUCCCCAGGAUGAUGGCCGUGGUCCAUCUCCUAGGAAGGAUAGCCGUGGCCCCUUUACUAAGGAGGAUAGCCGGAGCCCAUCACGCUCUCGUUCUCCAUCCUGCAGGUUUUUAACCUCUGAUAUUUCAUAAAAUUUCUUCGCUUAUUAUUUGUUGUGCCUGUACUUUUCCGGAACUUCUUAUUGGCGAUCUUAUUGUCUACAGCCGCUAGAUGACGAGCUCGAAUUUCUGACCAAGAUAGCAGCAGUGAAUGGCUUAAUACAAGAAGUCAUGAAACCUUCGUAAAGAGCGGAAAUUAGUUUUGGUCAACAGUCAGAAAAUGUGUACCUGUGCACUAUUUGAAGAGUGUGCAUCGUAGAAGGUCUUAAAGUUGCACUCUCGGCUAGUUCAACUUUUUAAUUAAAAAAAAAAAAAGAUCUUUACAUGUUAUUCAGGUUUGUAAAAAUGAUAUCUGCUUCAGCUCUAAAUUGUUGUUUAGAUCACGCGAGUUCAUUUCGCUUUUGUAUUGUGGUUUGGCUUUUGUUGCAGCAAACCAGUUUUGUUGUACUAAAGAAUGAUUGUGAACUCACAGCUGCUUCUGUUUUUUUGUGUUGUUUUGGAAACUAUUUCUAGGUCAAGUAUUCUCGUGUGUUCUCUAGGAAUGCGUUUGAGAAGUUACCUCAGUAAUGCAAGUCAAUAUUUUUAUUUUUAUUUUUAUUUUUUUUUAUUUUGAUACUUUUAAAAUGCAUAUAUUCUGAGUGAUUUUGACGAGCGUAAGCAAAUUCGGUGACUCUGAGCUUCUGGUUUGUUGUGAUUUAGUUUCGUGAACAAAAAAUAUUUGCUGACCCAAAAAUGCUUGUCUAAAUGCUAAAAUAUUUGCUUGACCCAAAAGUGCUUGUCUAAAUGCUAUUUCUAAUUAUCGUGUAUGCUCAUAAAUUAUUUCUAAAAUGCUAUUUCGAAAAUAAUUCGGUCCAUAACAUUUUAUUCAAAACAAGUUCUUCACAAAAUCCAUAGAUGGUUUUUUUUUUUUUUUUAUUUCCUGAUUUGGGAGCAAAGUGAUAUUGAGGCAAUUUUUAGGAACUGUGAAUGAAUAGAUGAAGAAACGAACUAGGAUGGUGAAAUUGGGGGUAAGUCUUUGUCUUGUCUCUUACAAUAAAUCUCUAUGUUUUUGAAUUUGAUGUCCGUUUUGUCUUUGGGUUAAUCACACCAUUAAUCUCCAACCUUUUGCCGAUUUUUUAAUUGAGCAUCAUUUUUUCUGUCUUUUACUUAUAAUUAUUAGAUGUCUUUUUUAUUGAUUCAUAUGAUCUUAUGAUGCUUCUCUACUUCCAUUUUGAUUCUUCAAGUUGCUGAAGGUAUUUGAUAUUUUGUUUCAGCAAAAAAGCCUUUGAAUAUCAGCAUGUGAAAUACCAAUUUGUUGCGUUUAAUAUCCAACUAUAGAUCAGUUGCUCUCAAGGUGUUUGAUGUUUUGCUUCAGCGAGAAAGCUUUUGUAUAUUGGAAUGAAUCAAACUGUUAACUUCGCCCCUCUUUGUAUCUAACUAUAGACGAAACUGUUAACUUCGCCCCUCAUUCGCCCAUAACGAUAAGGUUUUUCUCUUGGAAUAUUCCAAUGACGCUAUUAACAAGGUCAAUUUCUACUAGAGAUUGAAAUUUCUUUAUAUUAAAACAAGGUGCUUGUAGAAAAAGUAGACCGAAAAUACUUGUAUUGAUAAAAAAAACAGGGACAAUUACUUGUAUACCUCUGAAAAAUUUUCGACUUUCUAAUUUAUUCUUCUUAGAAGGUUAAUAUUGAAAAUAUCUUUUUAACGUUCCAACCUAUUUCUAAUAUAUCUCUAGAGUUAAAAUCUGUUAUGUUAAUGAACUCUGUUAUCUCUAUGAAAUUACUAUUUUGCCUUUUUAAAUAUACACUUUUACCAUCACCGAUUUUUUUUAUUAUUUUGUCCUUAAGUUAGAAGUACAAAAAGUAUUCUUUUCAAAUAUACUUUUCUACCAUCACCAGUAUUUCUUAUUUACCCUUAAGUUAAGAGCAAAAAUGGUAUUUUAAUUUUUUCUAACUGUGGUAGAUAUUUAACUCACGUUUAACCCAAGUUAACUUAACGGGUAGGUAACUGCAGGAAUAUUUUGGAAUAACAGAGAAAUAUAUGGGGUGUAUAUUGAAAGGAAAAAAAAAAAAAAGUAAAAAUAAAUGAGAUAUUUCUAAAGUUUUCAGGGAUAUAUAGAUAGUUAUCCCAUAAAAAACAUGGGGAAGUUACAAGCUUU
rnacentral:lncRNA from 1 species